UGUAUAACUAAACCAUAUCUAUUUGAUUAACGGGUCAAAGUGGUGAACCCGUUAACUAAUGUAUAUAUUAGAAAAUUCUGUUCUCAUUCACCGUAUCCGCCGGCCACACGAGUGGUCUCGCGGACGUCUGCUCGUCGAUCUACCGGCGGCCGCGCUGAUGCCUCUCCCUGACUGGCGGCCGCGUAGAUGCCUCCUCCUACUUGUGUCUGUGCAGGCGCAUCCUCUCCAACUGACGAUGGUUCCGUGUUUUGGAGUUGGCAUCGCAUAGGGGCACGGUGUGCCCUCACCUACAUCGGCAGGCGGCGGCCCUUGGUCGGAGUUCUCCAGCUCUGUGUGCGGGUGCAGGUCGAAGCUCCGCGAUGCAGAUCUAGAUGCAGCUUCUUUCACUAGUCAUGGGAGGCGACUGAUGGGCUGUUGGCCAGUACAGGUAGUAAAUCGCAUCUCGGUGAGCCACGUCUGCAUCGCUGAUGUUGUUCGACAUUCUGCGUCUAUGCGACAACCACGAAGCAUUCAGAAUUGAGUGGAUCGGUGACCAAACUGAGAGAUAAAUGUUAGUACAUACUUCUAUAAUAAUGUAUGAACUGAUACUCCAGAAAAAGGUAUCUACAUAUACUCGUUUAUCAAAAAGUAUGUACCUAUACUUAGGAAAGGUAUCUGUAUAUACUUGUUUUUCAAAAAGUAUGUAGCUGUACUUAGCGUACUUCCGUGAUAUUACAUUAUGAGAGAUAAAUACUAAUAAUAUAAUCAUGUGUCAGAUAAGUAUAUAAACAUACUCCCCAAUCUGUAUACUUUCCUACGAACGAGUAUAUUCUCAUACAUAUAUAUAUAUAUAUAUAUACUCUGUUCUCCAAACGAGCAUCGGUUGAUCCCCGUUAAAUAUGUAUGGGUUCAUUCUCUCCUUGGAUAUACUCAUUAAUUAAAAAACAACUAUCUAAUCAUACCCUUUCUUAAAUAAUGCGUACGUACACAUAUAUACUCUAACAAGUAUGCAUUCGUACUGGCUGUUUUCACAUGGAUGCAUAUAUGACA